rnacentral:tRNA from 1 species
UCCUCGGUGGCUCAGAUGGAUAGAGCGUCUGCCAUGUGAGCAGGGGAUCCCGGGUUCGAGUCCCGGUCGGGGCA